UGCUGUUGUAGUAGGCGCUUGACAGGGAUACGUGCUGUACGGGAUAGGCCUCUCCCUAAGCACGGUGAAAUGGUGCUGUUGUGCACAGACAGACUGUCCUUGCUAACAAAGUAAACAAGAUAAGAAGGCAAAGGAAUGAGGAGACCAUAGGAGCCAAAUAAGGAAUUGUGGUAAGGGGCUAAGAUCCAGUACGGACGAAUCAGGACAGGGCACAAUAGCUCAAGUAAGGUAUAUAAGCUGUGUGUAUUAGUGAAUAAACGCCAUUUUGCAGCAUCCCCAUAUUAGUGUCUGUGUUGCUAUGGUCCUAGCGAGCUCUUAUCGCUAGACCCUGAUGGUGCGGCUUGGGACUAUGGUGGUUGCCAGUGGCAACAGUCUGGAGGGACAACGGAUGGUGAAGGCCAGGGGCAACAAGAGAGAGACAGAGAGACGCUGCAGCCCAAUGACCAGGAAACAGUCUUUUGUGCGGACUUAUCUCAAGGGAGAUAGUCAUCUCAGGGUGCUCACACAACUCUUACCCAAGCGCCCAGGGAUGUCAGGUAGGCAGGGAAGAAGGAGGAUAAAAGAGGGACGAACAACCAUGAGGUUAGGGUUCUGACUAACCCUAGUUCUAGUCAGAACUAGGGUUCUGACUUCUGACUACAUAUCCCUCAUGAAGAAAAGAGUUUCUGACUACAGAUUUCUCAUGACCUGAGACCUGCAUGCUGAAGAACAAGAAGGUUUCUGACAUGAGAAGCCUCACGACCUGCCUCUCCCUCCUGGACUUGCUCUGUGCCCUUCCUGCUUUCUGUCUAAGGCCAGCCACUCUGCUGCUGCUCUCCCCCCGAGAAGGUAUCUGCCAUCAGAGCCCUCACUACGAAAGGCCUGCAUGCUGACAGACUCUCCAGGACCUGCUACUGGAGACUUGCUGCUUCCUCCCAGUCUUCUUCCUGGACCUACUCGGUACCUGCACCUUCUUGCUGCCUAAGACCAGCCACGCUGCUGCUGCUGUUCCUCUGCUGCGCUUUUGCCCCAGACCGUUGGAACAUCAUGCAACAGGACUACUGCCGGAUCCUGGUGGUGGCUAUCCCCGUUUCACGCAAUUCUUGCUUCUUUAUAUCUUUUCUAUCACCUGCCUUCCCUAUCACCCUAAAUCAUCCAUUCUCCCCUUCCCUAUCUCCCUUAUUACAAAUCUUAAUAAACAGGUCAGACCAACA
ensembl:lncRNA